AAGUCGUAACAAGGUUUCCGUAGCUUGCUCUGAGCGCCCCGAAAGGUUCGCUUUGUUUACCUUUCGCGGCAGAGGAAGUUACAGAUGCGAGGAAGUCACGAUCCGCGCACGUUGAUACCUUCUUAAUUGGGUUUUUUUCAACUUUGAUGACUGAGAUAUGAUCGGUUCCGGCUGUCAUGGCUGCGAAGUUACACGUUCCGUAGGUGAACCUGCGGAAGGAUCAUUA
rnacentral:rRNA from 1 species